rnacentral:rRNA from 1 species
UACGUAGGUCCCGAGCGUUGUCCGGAUUUAUUGGGCAUAAAGCGAGCGCAGGUGGUUUAUUAAGUCUGGUGUAAAAGGCAGUGGCUCAACCAUUGUAUGCAUUGGAAACUGGUAGACUUGAGUGCAGGAGAGGAGAGUGGAAUUCCAUGUGUAGCGGUGAAAUGCGUAGAUAUAUGGAGGAACACCGGUGGCGAAAGCGGCUCUCUGGCCUGUAACUGACACUGAGGCUCGAAAGCGUGGGGAGUAAACAGG